UACGGGGGGAGCAAGCGUUGUUCGGAUUUACUGGGCGUAAAGGGCGCGUAGGCGGCGCGACAAGUCACUUGUGAAAUCUCUGGGCUCAACCCAGAACGGUCAAGUGAUACUGUCGUGCUAGAGUGCGGAAGGGGCAACUGGAAUUCCUGGUGUAGCGGUGAAAUGCGCAGAUAUCAGGAAGAACACCCGUGGCUAAGGCGGCUCUCUAGUACGGUACUGACGCUGAGACGCGAAAGCGUGGGGAGCGAACAGG
rnacentral:rRNA from 1 species